GUGCUUGCUUCCACAGCACAUGUACUAAAAUUGGAAUGAUACAGAGAAGACUAGCAUGUCAUCUGCUAGGAUAACAGACAAAUUCAGGAAGCAUUCCAUAUUUUU
ensembl:snRNA U6 U6 spliceosomal RNA